GUAGUCAUAUGCUUGUCUCAAAGGUUAAGCCAUGCAUGUCUAAGUAUAAGCAAUUAUACAGCGAAACUGCGAAUGGCUCAUUAAAUCAGUUAUCGUUUAUUUGAUAGUACCUUACUACUUGGCUAACCGUGGUAAUUCUAGAGCUAAUACAUGCUAAAAACCCCGACUCACGAAGGGGUGUAUUUAUUAGAUUAAAAGCCAAUGCCCUUCGGGGCUCACUGGUGAUUCAUAAUAACUUGUCGAAUCGCAUGGCCUUGCGCCGGCGAUGGUUCAUUCAAAUUUCUGCCCUAUCAACUCUCGACGGCUGGGUCUUGGCCAGCCAUGGUGACAACGGGUAACGGAGGGUUAGGGCUCGACCCCGGAGAACGAGCCUGAGAAACGGCUAUUACAUCCAAGGAAGGCAGCAGGCGCGCAAAUUACCCAAUACCGACUCGGUGAGGUAGUGACGAUAAAUACUGAUACAGGGCUCUUUUGGGUCUUGUAAUUGGAAUGAGUACAAUUUAAAUCCCUUAACGAGGAACAAUCGGAGGGCAAGUCUGGUGCCAGCAGCC
rnacentral:rRNA from 1 species